rnacentral:rRNA from 1 species
ACUCAAAUGAAUAGACGGGGGCCCGCACAAGCGGUGGAGCAUGUGGUUUAAUUCGAUGCAACGCGAAGAACCUUACCUGGGUUUGACAUCCCCGGACCGCGCCAGAGAUGGCGUUUCCCCUUCGGGGGCCGGGAGACAGGUGCUGCAUGGCUGUCGUCAGCUCGUAUCGUGAGAUGUCGGGUUAAGUCCCUUAACGAGCGCAACCCUUAUCCCUAGUUGCCAUCAUUCAGUUGGGCACUCUACGGAGACUGCCGGUGUUAAACCGGAGGAAGGUGGGGAUGACGUCAAGUCCUCAUGGCCUUUAUAUCCAGGGCUACACACGUGCUACAAUGGCUGGUACAAAGAGUUGCCAACCCGCGAGGGGGAGCUAAUCUCAGAAAGCCAGUCUCAGUUCGGAUUGAAGUCUGCAAUUCGACUUCAUGAAGCUGGAAUCGCUAGUAAUCGCGGAUCAGAACGCCGCGGUGAAUACGUUCCCGGGCCUUGUACACACCGCCCGU